UAUAUAUGUUUCUACUCUUAUUUAAGGUAUUGUACCUAUGCAGCUCAUUUAAGAAUGUAAUGUACAGUUCUAGUCCUUGAAAGCUAUUAUUAUAAACUAUUUAGGAUAAUUAAGAAUGCAGGUUAGUAGUUAGUCAUCUAUAACAAUCAAGCUUGUAGUCAUAUUAGGUAUGUUUUCAAGGACAAAGAGAUGUAUUUUAGAUAGGCAGUCUUCAAACACUUCAGAGAUCUACAGAAUAUGGCAUUUAAGAUGUUUUAAUAACAUCAGGCUUUUCAUUCACUCCUUCCCAUCCUCCGGUACUGACAUUCUUUUUGCCUCCCCUUCUGUGGCAGUCCCCGAGCCUUGGUGUGUGGAAGUGACAUAGAUGCAUUAUUUAGGGCUGAGCACUCUGUUUCCUCCUCUCAGCGCUGUGACCAGUUAUUCUUCUGUCUAUUGACUGCUGCCCACAGCAUGAAGAAGCUCCUCAGAUCAAGGAUGAGAACACUCCAGAGGUUCCCAAGUUCAAAGGGUAGGGACCAGAUGGAGGUCUCCAGUUUGGGCUCUCUCUCUUUCUGCCUGAUGUUUGGCUGUGGGUCUCUGCAUCCGCUCCUUGGGGGCUUCCAACACCAGAAAGAAAAGGAGACUGUGGAAUGUUGGCGGGUUUAUAAAAGUCUUCUGCCUGCAUGCCAGCAGAGGGCACCAGAUCUCAUUCAAGGUGUUUGUGAGCCACCAUGUGGUUGCCGGGAAUUGAACUGAGGGCCUCUGGAAAAGCAAUCAGUGCUCUUAACCGCUGAGCCAUCUCCAGUCCUGGAUUUUUUAAGAAAGGAAGAAAGAAAGAGAAAGAACAGUCAAAGAUGUAAGGGAAAAUACCAACUUGCCUACAAAGGAAUAUACAUCAAAAUAACAUCAGAUUCCUCAUCUACAAUUCUAUAGGAAAGCAUGGAACAGUGUAUGCAGGCAAAAAAUCUGCCAACUAAAGAUUGCUGUAUCCAAAAAAGCAAUCUUCAAAAACCCACAGUAAAUGAAGGAAGUUUCAAGAUAAGAUAAACUGAAGCAGUUCCUAACCACCUAGCCAUCAUGCUGCAGAAGAUACUUAAAGGAAUCCUAUUCAUGGAGGAACAAGAAAGGGCAUCGAUCAGGAAAGAAAACAUUUCAUAAGAGGAAUGCAUGAACAAAGGAGAUCCAGGAAGGAAUCUAUUGUUCCAACACAGUAAACAUCCACAACUAAGGAGAUGAACAAUGAAAGACCCAACCAACCAGAAAGCACAUGCAACAAAUUAACAGGGGUUAAUAAACAUCACUCAACAAUAACCUUAAAUAUAAAUGGCCUUGAUUCAUCAGCAAAAGAUUCAGACUGGCUAACUGCAUCUAAACACUAUGUCCAAGUAUCUGUUGUUUUCAGUAACCACACUUCACUGGCAAAUACAUCCACAGUCUGAGAUUCCAAGGAUGAGGUCAAUCUUUUAUAAUGAAGAUGAUGAUUAUGACAUUGCCUUUAAAAAUAUUUGUGCAUGUGCUAUUGUGCAUGUGUGGAGGUCUUGGGUCAACUCCUUCUAACAUGUGGGUCCCAGGUAUCUAACGCAGGUCACUGCAGAUGCUGCUCUCACUGAUCCUAGCUUACAUGGCUUCCCCACUCUAUUCCCAGCUCUAUUCUGCAGCAUGGGUAGAAUUUAAUACUGACAUUUUAUUGAGCCCUGUACUUAAAUACACGUGUACAUGUCUCCACUGUUCUUGAAGAAAGGGAUGUGCCUUGUGCAGUGCAUCUUCCCCAGAAUGGCUGUGUUUUCCCAGUGCUGAGUGGUACUUGUAAGAACUGGUUGUGUGAAUAAACAAAACAAC
ensembl:lncRNA